UGGGGGAUAUUGCACAAUGGGGGAAACCCUGAUGCAGCGAUGCCGCGUGAGGGAAGAAGGUUUUCGGAUUGUAAACCUCUGUGGAGGGGGACGAUAAUGACGGUACCCCUUAAGGAAGCCACGGCUAACUACGUGCCAGCAGCCGCGGUAAUACGUAGGUGGCGAGCGUUGUCCGGAAUUACUGGGUGUAAAGGGAGCGUAGGCGGGAGUGCAAGUCAGAAGUGAAAACUAUGGGCUCAACCCAUAGCCUGCUUUUGAAACUGUACUUCUUGAGUGAGUCAGAGGCAAGCGGAAUUCCCAGUGUAGCGGUGAAAUGCGUAGAUAUUGGGAGGAACACCAGUGGCGAAGGCGGCUUGCUGGGGCUUUACUGACGCUGAGGCUCGAAAGCGUGGGGAGCAAACAGGAUUAGAUACC
rnacentral:rRNA from 1 species